rnacentral:rRNA from 1 species
UCCAGACUCCUACGGGAGGCAGCAGUGGGGAAUAUUGCACAAUGGGGGAAACCCUGAUGCAGCGACGCCGCGUGAGCGAUGAAGUAUUUCGGUAUGUAAAGCUCUCCCAGCAGGGAAGAAGAUGACGGUACCUGACUAAGAAGCCCCGGCUAACUACGUGCCAGCAGCCGCGGUAAUACGUAGGGGGCAAGCGUUAUCCGGAUUUACUGGGUGUAAAGGGAGCGUAGACGGCGAUGCAAGCCAGAUGUGAAAGCCCGGGGCUCAACCCCCGAACUGCAUUUGAAACUGUUUCCCUUGAGUGUCGGAGAGGUAAUCGGAAUUCCUUGUGUAGCGGUGAAAUGCGUAGAUAUAAGGAAGAACACCAGUGGCGAAGGCGGAUUACUGGACGAUAACUGACGGUGAGGCGCGAAAGCGUGGGGAGCAAACAGGAUUAGAUACCCCAGUA